GCUGGAGGACCACUUAGUUUUGGUGAGUUGUUGGGGGCCAGGUACACACACCUGAAAGCUUGCACAGAAAGGAAUUUUUCUGCUACUAUUUAGUUGGUCUAAUAAAAGACAUUGCCUCUGACCCAAGGGCUUUGUUUAUCUCUCUUUCUCAGACCAACACAGCUACAACAUAGAUCCCCGAAUCCUAGAGAACUGGAUUUUAUGCCUGUCUUUGCCAUAUGUUUCCUAGAUGAUGCUGAUCAUCUCUAAACCUAAGGGACAGAAGAGGGAUCGUCACUUAAUCAUCACUUAAAACUGUCAUAUGUACUUCCAACUUUCAAAGGAGAUUACAAAAUGGAGUUAAUCUGAAGCAAAGUUCCAAGGUCUAGCCUAUCUGGAUUAUGGCCAGCAGUGGUUCCAGGUCAGGAUCUUCUAGUGGUUUUGCCAUGAAAUCACAGCUUCAGAUCACUAUUAUUUCAGCAAAAUUAAAAGAAAAUAAAAAUAAAUGGUUUGGACCAAGUCCUUAUGUGGAAGUCUCAGUAAAUGGACAGUCAAAGAAGACAGAAAAAUGCAACAAUACAAACAGUCCGAAGUGGAAACAGCAUCU